rnacentral:rRNA from 1 species
UAGGUUAAUCCGCCCAGGGUUAGUCGGGACCUAAGGCGAGGCCGACAGGCGUAGUCGAUGGACAACGGGUUGAUAUUCCCGUACCCGUGUAUUCGCGCCAAUGGCGAAUCAGGAGUACUAACCGUCCAGACAGUGAGGGAUCUCCUUCGGGAGACCGGAUCCAGAUGCACGGGACCUUUCCUGGUAGUAGUCAAGCGAUGGGGUGACGCAGGAAGGUAGUGGGGCCAGUCAGUGGUAGUACUGGUGUAAGCCUGUAGGGAGUGACCUAGGCAAAUCCGGGUCGCACAUAUCCUGAGAGGUGAUGCGUAGCCGAAUGAGGCGAAUUCCAUGAUCCUAUGCUGCCGAGAAAAGCCUCUAGCGAGCUGAUACACGGCCCGUACCCCAAACCGACACAGGUGAUCAGGUAGAGAAUACUAAGGCGAUCGAGAGAACUGUGGUUAAGGAACUCGGCAAAAUGCCCCCGUAACUUCGGGAGAAGGGGGACCCCUGCUGGUGAUGGAACUUGCUUCCUGAGCUGGUGUGGGUCGCAGAGACCAGUGAGAAGCGACUGUUUACUAAAAACACAGGUCCGUGCGAAGUCGUAAGACUAUGUAUACGGACUGACGCCUCCCCGGUGCUGGAAGGUUAAGAGGACCGGUUAGCCAGUAAUGGCGAAGCUGAGAAUUUAAGCCCCAGUAAACGGCGGUGGUAACUUUAACCAUCCCAAGGUAGCGAAAUUCCUUGUCGGGUAAGUUCCGACCUGCACGAAUGGCGUAACGACUUCUCAGCUGUCUCAACCACAGACUCGGCGAAAUUGCAUUACGAGUAAAGAUGCUCGUUACGCGCGGCAGGACGAAAAGACCCCGGGACCUUCACUACAGCUUGGUAUUGGUGUUCGGUACGGUUUGUGUAGGAUAGGUGGGAGACUGUGAAGUGGGCACGCCAGUGUUCAUGGAGUCAUCGUUGAAAUACCACUCUGAUCGUAUUGGACUUCUGACCUCGGACCAUGAUCUGGUUCAGGGACAGUGCCUGGUGGGUAGUUUAACUGGGGCGGUUGCCUCCCAAAAUGUAACGGAGGCGCCCAAAGGUUCCCUCAGCCUGGUUGGCAAUCAGGUGUUGAGUGCAAGUGCACAAGGGAGCUUGACUGUGAGACUGACAGGUCGAGCAGGGACGAAAGUCGGGACUAGUGAUCCGGCACCGGCAAGUGGAAGCGGUGUCGCUCAACGGAUAAAAGGUACCCCGGGGAUAACAGGCUGAUCUUCCCCAAGAGUCCAUAUCGACGGGAUGGUUUGGCACCUCGAUGUCGGCUCGUCGCAUCCUGGGGCUGGAGUAGGUCCCAAGGGUUGGGCUGUUCGCCCAUUAAAGCGGCACGCGAGCUGGGUUUAGAACGUCGUGAGACAGUUCGGUCUCUAUCCGCCGCGCGCGUUAGAAACUUGAGGAAGGCUGUCCCUAGUACGAGAGGACCGGGACGGACGAACCUCUGGUGUGCCAGUUGUUCCACCAGGAGCACCGCUGGUUAGCUACGUUCGGAAGGGAUAACCGCUGAAAGCAUCUAAGCGGGAAGCCUGUUCCAAGAUGAGGUUUCUCACCCCCUUCGAGGGGGUAAGGCCCCCGGCAGACUACCGGGUUGAUAGGCCAGAACUGGAAGCCCAGCAAUGGGUGUAGGUGACUGGUACUAAUAGGCCGAGGACUUAUC